rnacentral:rRNA from 1 species
UACGUAGGGGGCAAGCGUUGUCCGGAAUCAUUGGGCGUAAAGCGCGUGUAGGCGGCUCGGUAAGUCCGCUCUGAAAGUCCAGGGCUCAACCCUGGGAUGCGGGUGGAUACUGCCGGGCUCGAGUCCGGAAGAGGCGAGUGGAAUUCCCGGUGUAGCGGUGAAAUGCGCAGAUAUCGGGAGGAACACCAAUGGCGAAGGCAGCUCGCUGGGACGGUACUGACGCUGAGACGCGAAAGCGUGGGAGCGAACAGG